rnacentral:lncRNA from 1 species
GGAAUUUGUUUCCCAGGAAUCAUAUUCCUAGGAGGGAAAAUGCUUCCCGCGAACCAAACGAGCCCUUAUAGGAAUAUAAUUCCUGGGAAACAAAUUCCCAGGAAGAUGAUGUCUAGGAAAGUACUUUUGGCAUGUUUGAUUAACCAUGGAAAAGUGACAAAUUUCCAAAGUGCCUAUGUUUGGUUGGUCAUCCACUUUCCUGGAAAAGUUAUGUAUGAUUCCUAUUACGCCCUUAAUAAAAAUUAGAUCUUUAAUGCCUCUUUAAUGCUUCUUCAAUGCUGAAGGGUCUUUUUGGAAAAAAGUAAAAAUAGAGUUAUUCCCGCCUCAUGGGAAAGUAACUUUCCCAUGUUUCUCAUGGGAAAGACUUUCUCAUGAAAUGUAGGAAUCAUAUUCUCAUGGGAAUACAACUUUUCCAUCUCUUUCCUUUGAAAACUCCAACCAAACAAGAAGCAUCUCAUUACUUUCCUGUUGACCACACUUUCUCCCCUUCUUUUCCCGCGAACCAAACGAACCCUAAGUAACUAGUAACUUGAGGUUUAUAUGACUUGCAAGCGAAGAAAUUUGAUGGCCAAGUAACUUGAGGCUAUUAGACUAAGUAAGUGGACAAUUAACUUGAAGUCCAAUAACUUAAAAACCAAAUAACCUAGGACUAAGACUCUAAAACAAUGAUAGACUUAAUAUAUGAUUAGAUUUGGACCAUUCAUUCUUAGGGUUGAUACUGACUUGACAAAAAACUCCUCAUGUCAGGAUCAAAGACUAAUACACCCUUUCAUGCUAUCGAUCAGACAAUCGAAUUCCUUCAUCGCUUCUGGGCCCUCAAUCUAAGGUUCACUAUCUCGCUACUAGACCUUAUAUUGGUGCCGCGCUGGUAUAGUAUUGGUACGCUAUAUGGAGGUCGGUUCAGUGUGCCGAUACUUGAUAUCCCUUCUGUACCGAGUUUUGGUCUGGUACUGGCACGGUACAAUAUGCAUGGUAUGGGGAUGUGCACACUGGCAUGGUGAACCAUAUCUCUACUAUUGCACCAUAUGGGUGCUGAUAUUAUUAUUGGUUUCUGUAUUUUUUUGUUCCUGCUUUCUUGCAAAAACAUCCAUUUUAGAUGUAUGUGUCCUAGUAGGCAAUAAUUUUUCUAGAAGGCUUAUUCCAUCUGAUCUGUUGUACAAGUUGAAUGGUGUCACAUUGACCAAUGUUGAGGAUGAUAGUGUUAUUUUGAUGAUUAACACAAUGAUUGAGGAAAUAUUUAAUUAGUAUUACAAGUUAAUGUGAUACAUCACUACUGAGUUCGACACUCUCGAUACAUUAGAAGAAUGAGUUCAAGAUGUCUUUCAACGAUUAAGAAUGAGAUUAAAUUUGUGAUAGAAAAGGGAUAGAAAAUUCUAAAUUCUAAUUUAGCAAAGUUUCAAGUAAAAUGUACUCUUAAGGGCAAAAUAGUAAUUUUAAUUGUUAAAAGUAUGUAGCACUACCAUGGCAUACAUUUAAAACUGCUUGAAACAUAUUUCAUUGAUUGUAUGGAUAAGUCUAACCUCAAGAUGCAGCAAAGUGUGAAAUGAGUCGACUCCAACAUCGGUGGAGUCGACCCUGGUACAUCAUGGAACCAUCAGGCACACCUCUGCAAAAAUGGCACGGAUGAACAGUAGUGGAGUCGACCCCAAGUAAGCUUGAGUCGACCCCAGAAGAUGAGCCGACCCCAAGGAACCUUGAGUCGACCCCAGCUUCAAGCCUCAAGAAAACAAGUCUCUGGAAUUUACUGAGAGGGCCGACCCCAACUUUCCUUGAGCCGACCCCAGAUGGAGCCGCCCCCAGGAAUGCUUGAGUCGACCCCAACUGGACAUAAGUCGACCCCAAGGCUAUGUCGUUCAAAAUUGUGUCUCUGGAAUCUCUGAGGGGGUCAACUUGAGUCGAUCCCACUAUGGCUUGAGUCGACCCCAAAAGGAGUUGAGUUGACCCC